UAACAAGGUUUCCGUAGGUGAACCUGCGGAAGGAUCAUUAAUAAUGCUCUCUGGCUUCGGUCAGUUGAGUUCAAUGAGUGCCUUCUCUUCGGAGUUGGCCAUCCAUACACACCGUGAACUGUGGCUUCGGCCAUCACAAACUGUUAGUAAUGAAUGUAAUAUCAUAACAAAAACAAAACUUUUAACAACGGAUCUCUUGGCUCUCGCAUCGAUGAAGAACGCAGCGAA
rnacentral:misc_RNA from 1 species